AGGUGCUUGAGAACAAUUUUAUAUUAAUAAAUAGUCCCUGAACUCUUUAUACACUUCUUGGUGCCGAGCCUUGUAGUCGGUGCUUUAUUCUCCUUUUUAUUUCCCCAUAAGGGACUCGGAACAGUCAGUAUUUUUAUUUCCAUCUCUCUUAUGUUCUAUUCUACAGAGCCAUUCAUUUGUCUCAGAUGGAGCUCUGCAUCUUGACAGAGACCAUUUCAUUUUUACUGAUGGAUUAAAAGGAUGAGAGAGAAUUCUAUUUCCAGCGGCAGGGACCUUCGUUAGAAGCAAAGGACCUUGUUCCAGAGCUGGGUUUCUAAAGUGCAGAAAAACAUGGAUGCAGCCUUGAACCGAAAAGGGCAAGACCAACGAAAAGAAAACAGGAAGAAUCUGAGAGCACAAUAAUGGACAAAGACAAGUGCCUACAGAUUGGGUUUGCUGAGAUGGGCGUUGAAGAACUUGACCACCCAGAGAUAUGAUCUCAACCCAAAUGAAGUCCUGUUGGAUGAGUUGUGAUCCCAACUGCAAGCCAGGCCUCAACCCCAGCAUCAGUGACCAGUGUCUUGCAUGUAAAUGGAAGCAAAUCACACCAACAAGGUACCAACAUCUAGUGGGCUUCUUCUCAGAAGAGAUGGGGCUGUUCUAGCAGCAAAGGGUGGGACAUUUCAUAUUAAUCCCUUGGGUUUUGUGAUGAAAUAUUGGACAGGUGCCCAGUACACUUCAUACAUUACAUUACAUAAGGGGCACAUUUACUAAGGG